rnacentral:lncRNA from 1 species
GUUGGCUGUUGUUAUAUAUGUCAGUUAAAAAGAAAUUUAUUUUAACAGUUAAAAAAGUACAGUUUUUUUGGUCUAGUAUGGUUCAGACUGGUCGAGUAUUGUUCAGACCUUGGUUAAGUAUGGUUUAGACUGGAAAAAUAGGGUCGAGUACAUGUCGAGAAUGGGUUAAGGACUGUUUCAGACUGGUCGAGUAAUAGUUCAGACUAUUUUCAACGGCAAAAAUAAGGGUCAAGUACG